rnacentral:lncRNA from 1 species
GGCACAAGCGUAAAUAACGCAUCACUUAUCAAUGCUGUGCGUUUUGGCAAAGGGAAAUGAAAUGUUUUGAUUGGCUCCCAGCCAAUAAAACAGUGGACACGGCCAAUGAACGAAUUUUCUGAGUUUAAGACAUAAACCCUAGGGUUUCUACAGCCAGGCAAUUGUUCAGCUUAUCUUCCAGCAAUCCAACAGACAAAAUCAACUAACAGCAGCAUGCAACAU